rnacentral:rRNA from 1 species
CCUGAUCCAGCCAUUCCGCGUGAGUGAAGAAGGCCUUCGGGUUGUAAAGCUCUUUCGGCAGGGAAGAAACGGUGGACUCUAACAUAGUUCACUAAUGACGGUACCUGACUAAGAAGCACCGGCUAACUACGUGCCAGCAGCCGCGGUAAUACGUAGGGUGCGAGCGUUAAUCGGAAUUACUGGGCGUAAAGCGUGCGCAGGCGGUUUUGCAAGUCAGAUGUGAAAGCCCCGGGCUUAACCUGGGAACUGCGUUUGAAACUGCAAGGCUAGAGUUUGGCAGAGGGGGGUAGAAUUCCACGUGUAGCAGUGAAAUGCGUAGAUAUGUGGAGGAAUACCGAUGGCGAAGGCAGCCCCCUGGGUCAAAACUGACGCUCAUGCACGAAAGCGUGGGGAGCAAACAGGAUUGGAUACCCUGGUAGUCCACGCCCUAAACGAUGUCAACUAGUUGUCGGG